AAUCUUCCGCAAUGGACGAAAGUCUGACGGAGCGACGCCGCGUGAGUGAUGAAGGUCUUCGGAUCGUAAAACUCUGUUGUUAGGGAAGAACAAGUAUCGACCGAAUAAGUCGGUACCUUGACGGUACCUAACCAGAAAGCCCCGGCUAACUACGUGCCAGCAGCCGCGGUAAUACGUAGGGGGCGAGCGUUGUCCGGAAUUAUUGGGCGUAAAGGGCGCGCAGGCGGUCUUUUAAGUCUGAUGUGAAAUCUCGUAGCUUAACUACGAGCGGUCAUUGGAAACUGGAAGACUUGAGGACAGAAGAGGAGAGUGGAAUUCAACGUGUAGCGGUGAAAUGCGUAGAUAUUAGGAGGAAUACCAGUGGCGAAGGCGACUUUCUGGACUUUUUCUGACGCUGAGGAACGAAAGCAUGGGGAGCAAACA
rnacentral:rRNA from 1 species